AGAGCGAACGCUGGCGGCAGGCCUAACACAUGCAAGUCGAACGGACUCUUCGGAGUUAGUGGCGGACGGGUGAGUAACACGUGGGAACGUGCCUUUAGGUUCGGAAUAGCUCCUGGAAACGGGUGGUAAUACCGAAUGUGCCCUUCGGGGGGAAAGAUUUAUCGCCAUUAGAGCGGCCCGCGUCUGAUUAGCUAGUUGGUAAGGUAAUGGCUUACCAAGGCGACGAUCAGUAGCUGGUCUGAGAGGAUGACCAGCCACAUUGGGACUGAGACACGGCCCAAACUCCGUACGGGAGGCAGCAGGUGGGGAAUCGUUGCGCAAGUGGGACGAAAGCCUGACGCAGCCAUGCCGCGUGAAUGAUGAAGGUCUAGGAUUAGUAAAUUCUUCGACCGGGACGAUAAGUGACGGUACCGAGAAGAACGCCCGGACUAACGUUCGUGCCAGCCACGCCCGGACGGUUAACUCGUUAGGACGGCCGGGCGUGGGACCGAA
rnacentral:rRNA from 1 species